UUGAAAUGCUUGAGAAAUAAAUGCCAACUUCACUUCUAGGUUUGCUUGCUUCCUUAAAAAGCUUGGAAUCUUUUGUGUUUGAAUUUGAGAAAAUCAGGCUCAUUUCACUUUGGAUGAAAAUGAAUCUCUUUCACUAUAUGUGUUGGAAGAGUUCAGGCUCGGUCGCAUUAUAGCCAGUCUCUGUGCCAGUACACAGGGCAUCACCUUUAAAAAGUGUUUCUGAACAUAGCCAUCAAGAACAGCAUAGAUAAUGGGAUUGACACAGCUAUUACUGAAAGCUAGGCAGGUAGCAAAACCCAGGCUUCUGUCCAAAAUGAUUUGAUUUUCAUUGGACAAGUCUAUGUAAUCCGAUUUCUUUAGAGUCUGGAUUGUCACUAGAAUGUUGAACGGAAGCCAUGCAAUGAUAAACAUUACAAUAAUCCACAGCCCAAUUUUCACAGAAAUCCUCUUUUUUUCCUCCUCUUUGUUCAUGCGCUUGAAGUGUCUGUUUAGUGUGAUGGCAAUAGAAGAAUAGCAGAAAACUAUGGUUGAGAGGGGCAGCAGGAAGGCAAUGACUCGUGUCACCAAACUGAAAACCGUCUUAGAUGUUGAGUUAUCAUCUGUACAAUAUCUGUCAUCAGUGGUGGACCUGAAGACAAAGCUUUGGACGCCAAGUCCAAGGGAAGCUGCCCAGACUCCUACAGCUAUCAGGUAGAUGACUGCAACAUUCCCCACCGUUCCAACAACGAAGACAAAGCAGCAUGGUCCAGGAAUAUUGAAGAAUACCUGCUUAUUUGGGAUGCUGCCACUUCUCCUAAAUAC